CACGGGGGGGGCAAGCGUUAUUCAUCGUUAUUAGGCGUAAAGGGUGCGUAGAUGUUUAAUUUGAUUUAGUUUGUGAAAGACCAAGAUAGUUUCUUGGGAUACAAAAUUAAAUGUGUUAAAUAGAGUGUUUUAGACGUAAAUAGAAUUCUAAGUGAAAGGGUUAAAUCUGACGAUAUUUAGAGGAAUACCAACGGCGUAAGCAAUUUACGAUAUUUCACUGACAUUGAGGCACGAAGGCAUUGGGAUCAAACGGG
rnacentral:rRNA from 1 species